rnacentral:rRNA from 1 species
ACGAACGCUGGCGGCGUGCCUAACACAUGCAAGUCGAGCGGAGGUAUGGAGUAAUUUAUUACGAAGUAUCUUAGCGGCGGACGGGUGAGUAACGCGUGGGCAACCUGCCUUACAGAGGGGGAUAACAGUGCGAAAGUACUGCUAAUACCGCAUAACAUUCAGCUAUCACAUGGUGGUUGAAUCAAAGGAGAAAUCUGCUGUAAGAUGGGCCCGCGUCUGAUUAGCUAGUUGGUAGGGUAAAGGCUUACCAAGGCGACGAUCAGUAGCCGAUCUGAGAGGAUGACCGGCCACACUGGAACUGAGACACGGUCCAGACUCCUACGGGAGGCAGCAGUGGGGAAUAUUGCACAAUGGGGGAAACCCUGAUGCAGCAACGCCGCGUGGAGGAUGAAGGUCUUCGGAUUGUAAACUCCUUUGAUGAGGGACGAAAAAAAUGACGGUACCUCAAAAACAAGCCACGGCUAACUACGU